rnacentral:rRNA from 1 species
AUUGAACGCUGGCGGAAUGCUUUACACAUGCAAGUCGAGCGGCAGCGCGGGGCAACCUGGCGGCGAGCGGCGAACGGGUGAGUAAUGCAUCGGAACAUGUCCAAGUCGUGGGGGAUAGCCCGGCGAAAGCCGGAUUAAUACCGCAUACGCCCGAGAGGGGAAAGUGGGGGACCGCAAGGCCUCACGCGAUUGGGUUGGCCGAUGUCCGAUUAGCUAGUUGGCGGGGUAAAGGCCCACCAAGGCGAUGAUCGGUAGCUGGUCUGAGAGGAUGAUCAGCCACACUGGGACUGAGACACGGCCCAGACUCCUACGGGAGGCAGCAGUGGGGAAUUUUGGACAAUGGGGGCAACCCUGAUCCAGCCAUUCCGCGUGAGUGAAGAAGGCCUUCGGGUUGUAAAGCUCUUUUGUCCGGAACGAAACGGUCACGGUGAAUACCCGUGACUACUGACGGUACCGGAAGAAUAAGCACCGGCUAACUACGUGCCAGCAGCCGCGGUAAUACGUAGGGUGCGAGCGUUAAUCGGAAUUACUGGGCGUAAAGCGUGCGCAGGCGGUUUUGUAAGCCAGAUGUGAAAUCCCCGGGCUUAACCUGGGAAUGGCAUUUGGGACUGCAAGGCUUGAGUGCGGCAGAGGAGACUGGAAUUCCUGGUGUAGCAGUGAAAUGCGUAGAUAUCAGGAGGAAUACCGAUGGCGAAGGCAGGUCUCUGGGCUGACACUGACGCUCAUGCACGAAAGCGUGGGGAGCAAACAGGAUUAGAUACCCUGGUAGUCCACGCCCUAAACGAUGUCGACUGGUUGUUGGGGGUUUGACACUCUCAGUAACGAAGCUAACGCGUGAAGU